UCAGAAGUAGAUACAUCGUCGUAGAAUACCAUAACAAAGAAACAACAUACAGCAGAACGAGUAUAAGCGGCAACUUCAUUGUCAUCUCUUUAUUGAGCAGCAAUCCAAGUCACAUGAUCAGUUGCCUAGCAACACUGGCUCCUCACCGAACCAGAACUGCAAGUUACACGAGUAAAGAAGGUCAUGUAAGAGGUUGUGACGCCGUGUACAGGUCCUGAACAUGAAGGCAACAGGUUCUUACGAAACGUUGGUAAUCAUACGAUCACCCGGCUUCACAACCCAGAAACCAGGAUCAACAAAUGGUUUAUAGAACACAUGGACCAAACUUAAUUUUCCACCAACUGGACUGCUCCAAACUCUAAGGUGUCUGGCUGCCACAGUCUGAAGUAUUGCUCUGUUUGUUCCGUUCCACAGUUUUACAAAUAACCUUUCUUCGAGAUGAAGUUGCGAAAACUGAAGUCAUGAGAAAUAGCACCAACUACUGAUUGUUCAUUACAGGCGUUGAACAGAAAGGCUUAUCAAAACACUAAUUAAUCUGCCGACUAAAUAUUUUCUGAUGUCUGAGAUGUGAAAUGUGUCAAUGUUCCGGGUUGUAU